GCCUGGUUGGCUCAUUUGGUAGAUCAUGUGACUCUUGAUCUCAACUCUUGAUAUCAGGGUUGUGAGUUCAAGCCCCACAUCAGGUA
rnacentral:tRNA from 1 species